CAAAAACCCAUGAAUUUCCGUAUCCAACGUUUGACCGUUCAUUUUAUUUGAAAAAAUAUGAAAAAAAAAUUAAAAAGACAAGUCACACAUAAAGUAUUAAUCAAGUUUUAUCAUCUAACAAUAAUGAAAAUACUAAUUAUAAAAAUAAAUCAUAUAAGACGGAGAGUCAAACGUUGGACACGGAAACCCAGGGUUUAUUUUUUU
rfam:Oryza nivara chromosome 2, whole genome shotgun sequence.